AGGACGAACGCUGGCGGCGUGCUUAACGACAUGCAAGUCGAGCGGAAAGGCCCUUCGGGGUACUCGAGCGGCGAACGGGUGAGUAACACGUGAGCAAUCUGCCCUUAGCUUCGGGAUAGCUCCGGGAAACCGGAAUUAAUACCGAAUACGACCUCGGCCGACAUCGGCCUUGGUGGAAAGUUUUUCGGCUAGGGAUGAACUCGCGGCCUAUCAGCUUGUUGGUGGGGUAAUGGCCUACCAAGGCGACGACGGGUAGCCGGCCUGAGAGGGCGACCGGCCACACUGGGACUGAGACACGGCCCAGACUCCUACGGGAGGCAGCAGUGGGGAAUAUUGCGCAAUGGGCGAAAGCCUGACGCAGCGACGCCGCGUGGGGGAUGAAGGCCUUCGGGUUGUAAACCCCUUUCAGCAGGGACGAAGCGAAAGUGACGGUACCUGCAGAAGAAGCGCCGGCUAACUACGCGCCAGCAGCCGC
rnacentral:rRNA from 1 species